rnacentral:lncRNA from 1 species
UUACUGAGGCCAAGGGGGCAAAAUCUAAUCCUGACAAAGAAUCCUGGCCACCUCAAAUGCAAAAGAUAGCCAAGUACAACGAACCGUAGUCCCAUUUGUUAUAAUGCCCUAUAAAUCACAGCCUAGGCCUUACAGUUAAUGGGGCUUUCUAUUCCAAUUCCCAUUAUGCUGGAAGGGGAGGAGGAAGAAUUGAGGAACGAAUGAGGAGUCUGAAGGUUUGCAUAAAUUCCUGGAGAAGGCUUUGUCUGAUAC